rnacentral:rRNA from 1 species
UACGAAGGGGGCGAGCGUUGUUCGGAAUUACUGGGCGUAAAGGGCGCGUAGGCGGCCGAUCAAGUCAGAUGUGAAAGUCCUGGGCUUAACCUGGGGACUGCAUUUGAUACUGAUUGGCUUGAAUGUAGGAGAGGAUAGCGGAAUUCCCAGUGUAGAGGUGAAAUUCGUAGAUAUUGGGAAGAACACCGGUGGCGAAGGCGGCUAUCUGGACUGUAAUUGACGCUGAGGCGCGAAAGCGUGGGAGCAAACAGG